AGUCGUAUGGUCUAAUGGUUAUGAUUUCUCGUUCACAUUAGUUGAAUCUGAUCCGAGAAGGUUCUGGGUUCGAUCCCCAGUACGACUA